CAGUAGCCACGGGAAUACGAGGGGGGCAAGCGUUGUUCGGAAUUAUUGGGCGUAAAGGGCGCGUAGGCGGUUUGGCAAGUUUGGUGUGAAAUCUUCGGGCUCAACUCGAAGUCUGCAUCGAAAACUGCCGGGCUUGAGUAUGGGAGAGGUGAGUGGAAUUUCCGGUGUAGCGGUGAAAUGCGUAGAUAUCGGAAGGAACACCUGUGGCGAAAGCGGCUCACUGGACCAUUACUGACGCUGAGGCACGAAAGCUAGGGGAGCAAACAGGAUUAGAUACCCGCGUAGUCCCUGUCUCUUAUAC
rnacentral:rRNA from 1 species